GACGAACGCUGGCGGCGUGCUUAACACAUGCAAGUCGAGCGGUAAGGCCCUUUCGGGGGUACACGAGCGGCGAACGGGUGAGUAACACGUGGGUGACCUGCCCUCAGCUCUGGGAUAAGCCUGGGAAACUGGGUCUAAUACCGGAUAUGACUCCAUGACGCAUGUUGUGGGGUGGAAAGCCUUGUGCGGCUGAGGAUGGGCCCGCGGCCUAUCAGCUUGUUGGUGGGGUGANGGCCUACCAAGGCGACGACGGGUAGCCGGCCUGAGAGGGCGACCAGCCACACUGGGACUGAGACACGGCCCAGACUCCUACGGGAGGCAGCAGUGGGGAAUCUUGCGCAAUGGGCGAAAGCCUGACGCAGCGACGCCGCGUGAAGGAUGAAAUCCUUCGGGAUGUAAACUUCGCAAAUAUGGGAAGAACACAAUGACGGUACCAUAUGUAAGCCCCGGCUAACUCCGUGCCAGCCGCCGCGGUAAC
rnacentral:rRNA from 1 species